CCCACUCCCCCCUACCCCAUCCCACACCCCACGGAUGGUGCUCAUGAUCUUAAAUACCUUUUUAUUUGGGGGGGGGGGGGGUUAAAGAUAAUUUUUCCCCUCCCCAACUCUCAAAAGCAAUGCUAUGUGCCUGCAAUGAGAGUGACUUUAGGUAGAACAACGCCGAUAUCACACUUUUCUUGGUAUUCUUAAAACGCACCACCCAAACUAUAUGUCAAGCAUUGUUUUUUUCAUACUCUUCAGUGAAAUACUAGUACCCUUUAAUGUGAAUGUUUGUUUAUUAUUGUCAAUUGAAUAUUGUGCGCUAACGUGUAAUAACACGUCCUUUGUGUUCUGAAGUUCAAUAAUUUUGCACUUGGAAUGAUCCUUGAUACAUUUAGGUUUUCAAGCUUACUAAGCGUAGUAAGAAUUAAAAGAAUGUUAUAUCAAUUAAUUAAAAAUAAUGAAAUUAAUAUUUUGUUUUGUUAAUUAUGGUUUGUGUACAUUGUUUACUAACAUACCCGCGUCUAAGAUAUCGAUAAAUAUCAAACGUUCAAUAAAAGUGUGCUAAA
rnacentral:sRNA from 1 species